GACGAACGCUGGCGGCGUGCUUAACACAUGCAAGUCGAACGGAAAGGCCCUGCUUUUGUGGGGUGCUCGAGUGGCGAACGGGUGAGUAACACGUGAGUAACCUGCCCUUGACUUUGGGAUAACUUCAGGAAACUGGGGCUAAUACCGGAUAGGAGCUCCUGCUGCAUGGUGGGGGUUGGAAAGUUUCGGCGGUUGGGGAUGGACUCGCGGCUUAUCAGCUUGUUGGUGGGGUAGUGGCUUACCCAGGCUUUGACGGGUAGCCGGCCUGAGAGGGUGACCGGCCACAUUGGGACUGAGAGACGGCCCAGACUCCUACGGGAGGCAGCAGUGGGGAAUAUUGCACAAUGGGCGGAAGCCUGAUGCAGCAACGCCACGUGCGGGAUGACGGCCUUCGGGUUGUAAACCGCUUUCGCCUGUGACAAAGCGUGAGUGACGGUAAUGGGUAAAGAAGCACCGGCUAACUACGUG
rnacentral:rRNA from 1 species